UACGUAGGGUGCGAGCGUUGUCCGGAAUUAUUGGGCGUAAAGGGCUCGUAGGCGGUUUGUCGCGUCGGGAGUGAAAUCCACUGGCUUAACUGGUGGCUUGCUUUCGAUACGGGCAGACUGGAGGUAUGCAGGGGAGACUGGAAUUCCUGGUGUAGCGGUGAAAUGCGCAGAUAUCAGGAGGAACACCGGUGGCGAAGGCGGGUCUCUGGGCAGUAACUGACGCUGAGGAGCGAAAGCGUGGGGAGCGAACAGG
rnacentral:rRNA from 1 species